rnacentral:rRNA from 1 species
AGUGAACGCUGGCGGUAGGCCUAACACAUGCAAGUCGAACGGCAGCACAGUAAGAGCUUGCUCUUACGGGUGGCGAGUGGCGGACGGGUGAGGAAUACAUCGGAAUCUACUUUUUCGGGGGGGAUAACGUAGGGAAACUUACGCUAAUACCGCAUACGACCUACGGGUGAAAGCAGGGGAUCUUCGGACCUUGCGCGAUUGAAUGAGCCGAUGUCGGAUUAGCUAGUUGGCGGGGUAAAGGCCCACCAAGGCGACGAUCCGUAGCUGGUCUGAGAGGAUGAUCACCCACACGGGAACUGAGACAGGGUCCAUACUCCUACGGGAGGCACCAGUGGCGAACAUUGGACAAUGGGCGCAAGCCUGACACAGCCAUACCGCGUGUGUGACGAAGGCCUUCGGGUUGUAAAGCCCUUUUGUUGGGAAAGAAAAGCAGCAGGUUAAUACCCCGCUGUUCUGACGGUACCCAAAGAAUAAGCACCGGCUAACUUCGUG